CCGUUUGACAGUUGUUGAUGACGAUUGAUGAAGUGACAGAUAGUCGGACUCGGAUUACAGUUUAGAGGUUACAGAUACUUCACAGGAUUCACUGCCCGCAUUAGCACAACUGAAAGCUGAACCAUGGACGUCCACAUCUAAUUGAAUUCCUGAUUUACUGCCUCAACUGACGCUGUGAUGUCUUACUGGAUGAAACUGCUGUUAGCCGGCGUCAAAACUUGAAAGAGAUGCUUAAAUAGGACAAUCUUUACCCUGCGAUUGAAGAGAUUCCUGGGAAUGGGCUUUCUUUUCACUCCAUCCGGAAGCGGUACUUGCUGAUGGUUUCAGAGUGGCAGCUACUACACCGGGGACGUCGAGCGAGCCGGACGGUGCAGCAGAGCUGUCUGUUGGUCCAGAAACAGCUAUUGGUAUAGGAGAGAUGUAAGAUUCGGCGAUCAGGCCAGAGAAGUCUAAUCCUUCGGGCGCUCGGAGAAUAGCCAAAGACAAGUAAAUGUCAAAGGCAGCACUGUACGGGGAAUUGGACGAAAUCAGAUACGAAAUGUCAAAGGUAAUUUAACAAUAUUUAAGUGUUACUGAAUCACUCCGAAAUAGGCGUUCAGUUCUUCUUCAGAGCAGGUGUUCCAGUCACGUUUGUAACCCAUCAAUACCAUAUUGGGUUUCAUUUUGCCUAGACCGCUAAGUUGCAUCAAUGCCUGAGCUCCCUCUAUUUAUAAUAGAUUUAAAAUAUUUAAAAUUGAUUGUCUUCGUGACACGAGAGCUUAUACGACGUACCUUUGAAACCCGUAUUGUCGGCAAGACUGUAAAAGGCUUUGAUUUUGUGAUCGCGCAACCAGUGGUACAUUCGUUGCGUGUAGGAUGUACGAGUACGUUGAUUCAGGGGAGUUUUGACAAUAUGUCCGCAUACCAUCAUGGACAAAUGCUUGCAAAUUGAAUAGCCGAAAUCGACCAGAGGAGGUCUAGCGCUUGGCAAGCCGGAAAGGACAAGGAUUUGGGGUCGAUAGUUUUUCACAUGCUCUUCAAUGUGCACCAGUUCUUGGAUGCUGUUCAGAGCUGCUUUGUAAGUUUGGGCUUGCGUCGAUGAUCCCCAGUUCACGUCUGAUACAUUGAAAGGAAAACAAAAUGUUUGAUUUAAAAAGAAAAGCUAAUAAUACGGUGCUGACUGGUACGUACCGGGUUUGCGAUAGAUGACAACAAGAUACAAAGCAAACAGGCAGCCAAACGUGACGAGUGCGGUGGGCCAAUUCAUCAAAAACAUGACGGCCACGCAAAGAAUCGCCCCAAUUAAACUCAUCCAUCCGUUGUAAUACUAAAACAAAAGCACAAGAGUUAUAAUUAUGAUUAUAUUCAAUUUAGUUAUUCAUUCUUCUUUACCCUAAAUGUAGGCCUCCAUCCAACAGGCUUCACCAUUUCGGCAUGGAAAGUUGAAUAAUUGACCAAUCCGUAAGCAGCCAAAAAGAAAUUGGAGAUGAGGGGAGCAAUGGCAUUGAGCUCGGCGAUAAUGAUGCAGCCCAAAGCGAUGAUAAAUGUCAAGAUGUAACCAUUAACUGGCUCGUUGUUUUUACCGUAUCCGCGACCAAACGGACCCAAAUAAGGAUAAAGUUUAUCCUUACACAAAGCCUGGAACACUUUGGGUGCAGAGACGAGACUGGCCAGAGCAGAGCUGAGGGUAGCCGCAAAACAACCGGCGUAAAUCAAAGGACCGAAAGCCGAAACCAGUUCAAUAACCUGUUUUCAUAUCAAUCACAAGGUUGUCGUUUGAUUACAAAAAAGGAACAAGAAUCUGCAUAUCUUAAAUAACAUGAUAAUGACGACUUUACCUGAAAACUGUUUUGGAGUCCCCAUUCGCAACCCUCGGUGCAGUUAGUGAGCGUGCCAUUGUAGAGAUCUUCAACAUUGCCGGUGGCCUGUCUCAAAACCGUCGCACCGCAAAUAAUGGCGAAACCGACGUAUGUCAAACUUGUAAUAGCAAUGGCCAACAUAGUUCCUUUAGGAAUAGCAUGUUGAGGAUCCUAAAAUAGAAAUCAAAUUGAACAUCUCCUUAAUUUUUUAUGGAUAGGACAUUGUAAGCUGACUUUGAGAUCGCCGGAAAUGUUGGCUCCAGCCAAGAUGCCCGUCGCAGCCGGAAAGAAGACGGAAAAUACGGUAAAGAAACUAUGUUCUUUGCCUUCGCUGUAUUGGUAAUCAGGUGAAAAAUUUUCCACGAAUAACUCGCCUUUCAAAGUUAAAAA